rnacentral:rRNA from 1 species
GUCCACGCCCUAAACUAUGGAUACUCGACAUCAGCGAUACACUGUUGGUGUCUGAGCGAAAGCAUUAAGUAUCCCACCUGGGAAGUACGAUCGCAAGAUUGAAACUCAAAGGAAUUGGCGGGGUCCGCACAAGCGGUGGAGCAUGUGGUUUAAUUCGAUGAUACGCGAGGAACCUUACCUGGGCUAGAAUGUCACGCGACCGGGGGUGAAAGCUCUCUUUAUAGCAAUAUACGCGUGAUAAGGUGCUGCAUGGCUGUCGU